AGUGAACGCUGGCGGUAGGCCUAACACAUGCAAGUCGAACGGCAGCACAGUAAGAGCUUGCUCUUACGGGUGGCGAGUGGCGGACGGGUGAGGAAUACAUCGGAAUCUACUUUUUCGUGGGGGAUAACGUAGGGAAACUUACGCUAAUACCGCAUACGACCUACGGGUGAAAGCAGGGGAUCUUCGGACCUUGCGCGAUUGAAUGAGCCGAUGUCGGAUUAGCUAGUUGGCGGGGUAAAGGCCCACCAAGGCGACGAUCCGUAGCUGGUCUGAGAGGAUGAACAGCCACACUUGAACUGAGACAACGUCCAGACCCCUAAGGGGAGGAGCAGGGGGGAAUUUUGGACAAUGGGCGCAAGCCUGAUCCAGCCAUACCGCGUGGGUGAAGAAGGCCUUCGGGUUGUAAAGCCCUUUUGUUGGGAAAGAAAAGCAGCAGGUUAAUACCCCGCUGUUCUGACGGUACCCAAAGAAUAAGCACCGGCUAACUUCGUG
rnacentral:rRNA from 1 species